AUUUGAUGAGUGGGGAGGUUGUCUUUGAAGGUGUAUCAAACAGCCCUUUUCCUAGAACAUGUUCAAAUAGAAUGAUCAAAAAACAAGACCACCUAGCCUUCUGAACAAACCAUAGGACAGCCUGUCAACUGUUGGUUAGUUUCCAUCUACCUGUCUGAGUGUGAACAUCAAACCACAGGUUUUUAUUUUACUUAAAGACCAAUUUAUAAGUGACAUUAUGGUGAGUUUAGUACUUCUCUGAGUAGAGUAGAACUCUUUUUUAACUACCCUAACUUGUUAAGCAUGUGGAAGUUAUUCCGUGAUUAAAAGUAAGUUUGCAUAUUUCAAAACUUAAAAGCAAUACCAAAGGACCAUGUGUAAAAUUAAAUUUCAUAGUCGAUGCUAGAUCUUGAGGGUGUGUGGAAUUUUUAGGUAGGACACUGAGAAGAUUAGAUAAUCUAUUUGACCAUUUUCUGUCAGCUUAAUAUGCAUUUCAAAUAG